AGGGGAGAGAUUGCCAAGCAGUCCCCCGCAGGCUAACAGCUCCGUCCCCACCUGGCUGGAAGGCCCUUCAUCUCUCUGACGGGCCCAUCUCAGAGGACAACCCCUGGAAAUCUGGUGACUUUCAACUGUACCGCUGGCCCCUUCAGCUCCCGGGACUUCAAUGUCACCUGGAUGAAGGGCAGACACAAGCAUCCAGCCUCAGCUCAGCAUCUGGUGAUUAACGACAAAGGCGACUAUUCCAUCACCAGUAAGGUGUGGGUGACACUGGCCCGCCAAGAUAUCUUAUUGGGGAUCACCUGCAAAGUCACCCACAGGGUGCCGAAAGAACCCCGGCGAAAGACCAUGAACCUCUCCCAAGGGCUCCAAGUUGUCCCCACCCUGAAGAUCACUACCAAGACCUCUGGGACGCACAUCCAUGUGCAUCAGAGAGUGAAUCUCACCUGCCACGCGAGCCACUUCUACCCCUCCCACCUACGUCUUACGUGGAUGGAGAACAGACACAAGGUCCAGACAGUGGAGUCCCCACAGGUCACAAGAAACCCAGAUGGGACCUAUUCUCUGGAGCACACGUGGCUGGCAGAGGCCGCGCUGGAGGGGAGAGAGUUUGCCUGCUGGGUGGUCCAGGAUGAGCAGCCCCCAGUCCAGGCCAACAUCACCCUGUGGGCCCAGGAGCCCAGGUUGGGGAAAGGCCGGAGCACCCACUCUUCCUCCUUGCAAGGCCCCCUCCAGCGAUCGGAGCCAGGCACAAGCAUCCAGCUGACCUACAUGUCCUCCGGAUUCCCCUCACGUCAGGUGACCAUGACCUGGCUGAAGAAGAACCUCGAGCUCCUCAAGUGGCAGACGCAGGUCCACGCCAAUGGAGACACAUAUAAUGUGACCAGCAGAGUGCUCGUCCCGCUGCGGGCUGAUGAUGCGCUCUCCUUUGUCCAGUGCCACGUGGAUCACAAGUCCAUACCGGUGUUCCAGAAAACCAUCAGCCUGAACCGGUACCUCCGCGUUUCCCCUACAGUGACAGUGUCCCAGUCUUCAUCGUCCUCGGACUUGGUGGCUAUUACCUGCCAUGUGCAGAGAUUCUAUCCACAGAGUGUGCAUCUCACUUGGAUAGAGAACUGUCAUAUCUUCAAGGAAGCCAAGCAAUUCACAUCCAAACAGAAUAGUGAUGGGACCUACACCUUGGAAAGCUUGCAUUUGGUGAAUGUGUCAGGGCAGGGAUCUGAGCGGGUGCUCACCUGUAAAGUGCAGCAUGAGGCACAACCUCCCAUUCAGGCCAACCUCAUACUGUCCACGGCAGCCCAUGGCAUAUACAAGCCCAUUGGAAGCUCAGGUCCACAGAUGCCUGUCCUUAUGUUUGUGGCUUUCCUUCUGGGCUUCAAGGUGCUGCUGGUGAUGAGUUUCAUAAUGACCUACAUCUGCAGGUGGCAGAACCUGUAACAGGCUGAAAUGUCAGAGAGAAGUGAUUGCAGCCCUGACCUGAUGGCCCACAAGCAUAAAACAUUUACCGUCUGGCCGUCUAAGAAAAAGCUUGCCAACACCAGAGAGACAAUAUUUAAAUAACUCUAACAACAAAAUACUAAGAAGAUGGACAAUCACAUUUUUUAUGUGCAUAAAAAAUUUGAUCAGAUGCUCCACCGAAGAACAUAUAUGAGCAUCAAUGAGACUUUUGCUGAUGCAAAAUGUAUUUGUUUUUAAAAACUGCUCUGUGCUAAUUAGACAGCUUUAUAAUAAGUUUU